rnacentral:rRNA from 1 species
AAUAUAUCGGAACGUGCCCAGUACCGGGGGAUAACUACUCGAAAGAGUGGCUAAUACCGCAUACGCCCUACGGGGGAAAGGGGGGGAUCGCAAGACCUCUCACUAUUGGAGCGGCCGAUAUCGGAUUAGCUAGUUGGUGGGGUAAAGGCUCACCAAGGCAACGAUCCGUAGCUGGUUUGAGAGGACGACCAGCCACACUGGGACUGAGACACGGCCCAGACUCCUACGGGAGGCAGCAGUGGGGAAUUUUGGACAAUGGGGGAAACCCUGAUCCAGCCAUCCCGCGUGUAUGAUGAAGGCCUUCGGGUUGUAAAGUACUUUUGGCAGAGAAGAAAAGGUAUCCCCUAAUACGGGAUACUGCUGACGGUAUCUGCAGAAUAAGCACCGGCUAACUACGUGCCAGCAGCCGCGGUAAUACGUAGGGUGCAAGCGUUAAUCGGAAUUACUGGGCGUAAAGCGUGUGUAGGCGGUUCGGAAAGAAAGAUGUGAAAUCCCAGGGCUCAACCUUGGAACUGCAUUUUUAACUGCCGAGCUAGAGUAUGUCAGAGGGGGGUAGAAUUCCACGUGUAGCAGUGAAAUGCGUAGAUAUGUGGAGGAAUACCGAUGGCGAAGGCAGCCCCCUGGGAUAAUACUGACGCUCAGACACGAAAGCGUGGGGGAGC